rnacentral:rRNA from 1 species
AUUGAACGCUGGCGGCAGGCCUAACACAUGCAAGUCGAGCGGAUGACGGGAGCUUGCUCCUUGAUUCAGCGGCGGACGGGUGAGUAAUGCCUAGGAAUCUGCCUGGUAGUGGGGGACAACGUUUCGAAAGGAACGCUAAUACCGCAUACGUCCUACGGGAGAAAGCAGGGGACCUUCGGGCCUUGCGCUAUCAGAUGAGCCUAGGUCGGAUUAGCUAGUUGGUGGGGUAAUGGCUCACCAAGGCGACGAUCCGUAACUGGUCUGAGAGGAUGAUCAGUCACACUGGAACUGAGACACGGUCCAGACUCCUACGGGAGGCAGCAGUGGGGAAUAUUGGACAAUGGGCGAAAGCCUGAUUCAGCCAUGCCGCGUGUGUGAAGAAGGUCUUCGGAUUGCAAAGCACUUUAAGUUGGGAGGAAGGGCAGUAAGCUAAUACCUUGCUGUUUUGACGUUACCGACAGAAUAAGCACCGGCUAACUCUGUGCCAGCCGCCGCCGUAA